CAUUUCUGCGAAUUCUCAACUAUUUUGUGUGACUUUUGGUUGAAAUACUCUGCGUUAGACGUUGAAAAGUUAAGACUUUACAGGAUCAUUUCUGUAGACAGUGUUUAUUUACUAAUUAAUUCGUGUUCUAUAUAAUAUUGACGUACUAUUUGUAGUAUUAGUACACAGUGAAUAGUGAUUCAAAAGAUUCAAACCAAACAACUGCAGAAGCUGAACCAUUACUGGCAUUCCUCAGAGGGAAAUUUUCAUCAGAAAUGAUCAAUGGAAGAAAUGAUCCUACGAAAGGAGGUACGACUAUUGAUGCGGUAUUUGCGAGAAAUAUAGAUAAAAUAUAUAUAUCAAUCCGUCAGAACCCAGAAAUGAUAAUUAAUUUGGACUUUGCUUUAUAAAAUGUGCAUAAUAAAUUUAUAAAAUGUGAGUUUAAGAAAGUGUUGGUAACUCCAUCACAUUUUUAUCCUUU